rnacentral:rRNA from 1 species
CAGCAGCCGCGGUAAUACGGAGGGUGCAAGCGUUACUCGGAAUCACUGGGCGUAAAGGACGCGUAGGCGGGUUGUCAAGUCAGAUGUGAAAUCCUACAGCUUAACUGUAGAACUGCAUUUGAAACUGGCAACCUAGAGUAUGGGAGGGGGAGAUGGAAUUAGUGGUGUAGGGGUAAAAUCCGUAGAUAUCACUAGGAAUACCGAAAGCGAAGGCGAUCUCCUGGAACAUUACUGACGCUAAGGCGUGAAAGCGUGGGGAGCAAACGGGAUUAGAUACCCCGGUAGUCCACGCCCUAAACGAUGAACACUAGUCGUCGGGAUGCUUGUCAUCUCGGUGAUGCACUUAACAGAUUAAGUGUUCCGCCUGGGGAGUACGGUCGCAAGAUUAAAACUCAAAGGAAUAGACGGGGACCCGCACAAGUGGUGGAGCAUGUGGUUUAAUUCGAAGAUACGCGAAGAACCUUACCUAGCCUUGACAUUGAUAGAACACACUAGAGAUAGAGUGGUGCCCUUCGGGGAACUUGAAAACAGGUGCUGCACGGCUGUCGUCAGCUCGUGUCGUGAGAUGUUGGGUUAAGUCCCGCAACGAGCGCAACCCUCGUCCUUAGUUGCCAGCAGGUUAUGCUGGGCACUCUAAGGAGACUGCCUUCGCAAGGAGGAGGAAGGUGAGGACGACGUCAAGUCAUCAUGGCCCUUAUGGCUAGGGCUACACACGUGCUACAAUGGGGCGUACAGAGAGUUGCGAUACCGCGAGGUGGAGCCAAUCUCAUAAAGCGUCUCUCAGUUCGGAUUGGAGUCUGCAACUCGACUCCAUGAAGCUGGAAUCACUAGUAAUCGUAGAUCAGCAAUGCUACGGUGAAUACGUUCCCGGGUCUUGUACUCACCGCCCGUCACACCAUGGGAGUUGAUUUCACCCGAAAUUGGGAAGCUAACCUUCGGGAGGCUACCACUUACGGUGGAAUUAGCGACUGGGGUGAAGUCGUAACAAGGUAACCGUA